GGACUGUGCUCCACUGUUUUUCUCUUUCGCUCGUACGUGCAGCGUCAGUCGGUCGGAACUGGUACGCAACAUAACAGGAUUGGUUCUGUCAUCAUCACCUUCCAUGUAUGGUGAUCGCGGCUGCCCCGAAAGCUGCAGCAGAUUUUGGUAAAAAUUUAAGACGAAUUUUGCUUUCCAAAACGCUCGCCAUUCGAUGGAAAACCGCUCCGGUGUUGGCCCAGUGGUGCGGGGAAGUGCGAUCUGGCCCUAGUGCGUGUCUGUGCGUGUGGAAAAAAAAAACAAGUGUGUUCUUUUCAGCGAUUAGAUGGGAACCCCUGACAGCUUGUUCCGAAAAGACACAGAGAAACAAGUAGUCGAAAAAAAUAAAACAUGAAAGAAGCCGAAAUUUAAGCAGGUCGUAUCCGGUUUGCGCGAAUUGUUCGGCUGAAGCAGCAGCAGUGUCCGCGAUGAUGAUGACGAUGGAUAAAUAGAAUUGUGUAUUUGCAGUACGCCUGAUUGAACAAGCAGCAUCCGGCAGAUUCUUCUGGUGCAGACGGUUCGCGCAGUAGGCCGCGUCGGAUGUUGUCCUUAAAGAGCACAUGCUGCGGCACUUGUUUAGUGGAACAAAUAGUCGAAAAAAUCUAACCGCUUGUGUGUGUGUGCGUGUUUAUGUGUGUUGUUUUAUGUGUUCUUGUGUCCGUGUUUUGCUUUUUCUUCUACUCCUUCAACCAGCACACUGCAGCUGUGCGAUACGGCGUUAUUGUUUUGUUUUUCGAGCAUAAUUCUGACUGACCGACUGAAAUGUAAACCUGCCCUUCCUCGUCGGGACAGUCGAAGAAAAUCAAAUGAAACGGAACUGUGGUACAAUUUGUACACUAUUAGAUUUGUAAACAGUAACCGGCGCUUCCGAAUCUGGCCCGUGGACAAGAACCUGUACUGGAAUAGCAGAUCGAACCGGGUGUACAUGUCAUCACGCCCCACCCAAGCAGCUUUUAAUAUGAAUUAUUAAAAUGAUGUAAUAUAUCCGGAAAGUGGGUUUAGCUUAACUAUUUUGCUGUGCUGUGCUAGUUGUUAGGGAAGGAAAGCUUGUGAACUAGCCUAACCAUACAGUAGCGCGCAGUAGCAGUGAACCAACAGGCAGGAUAAUUGAAAAUGGCACCGAGUCAGAAAGUGACGAAAAAAUGGGAAAUAUUUGCCGGCCGUAACAAGUUCUUCUGCGACGGAUAUCUGAUGACGGCACCAAACUCGGGUGUCUUUUACUUCACGGUCAUACUGAUUACCGCUACCAGUGGACUGUUUUUCGUGUUCGACUGUCCAUUUUUGGCACAACGCAUCACACCCGCCAUCCCGAUCAUCGGCGGGAUCCUCUUCGUUUUCACGCUAAGCUCCCUGUUCCGCACAGCCUUCAGCGAUCCGGGCAUUAUUCCGCGUGCAUCGCAGGACGAGGCGGCAUAUAUCGAGAAGCAGAUCGAGGUGCCGAACUCGCUCAACAGCCCUACCUACCGGCCGCCGCCCCGCACCAAGGAGGUGUUCGUGAAGGGUCAAACGGUGAAGCUCAAGUAUUGCUUUACGUGCAAAAUCUUUCGCCCACCGCGGGCCUCCCACUGCAGCUUAUGUGAUAAUUGCGUUGAUCGGUUCGAUCAUCACUGUCCGUGGGUGGGAAAUUGCGUUGGCAAGCGAAACUAUCGGUUCUUCUACAUGUUUAUUGUCUCGUUGGCGUUCCUAGCAGUAUUCAUAUUCUCGUGCACAACGACUCACAUAGUAAUGUUAUUAAAGGAAGACAACCAGUUCAUUGACGUCGUCAAGCGGACUCCUUCCAGUGUGAUAAUAGCGAUAAUUUGUUUCUGUUCCGUGUGGUCCGUUAUCGGGUUGGCUGGAUUUCACACGUAUCUUACUACAAGUGAUCAAACAACGAAUGAAGAUAUAAAAGGUUCAUUCAGCUCGAAGGGUGGCCAGCAGGCAAUAAACCCGUACUCGCAAGGAAACAUUUGCCUAAACUGUUUCCACAUUCUGUGCGGCCCAAUAACACCGUCGCUAAUUGAUCGGCGCGGUGUCGUUACGGACGAGUAUCGGACGCAAAUGCAAGCGUCGGAGAAAUACAACAGUGCCACUGUUCCACCGUUGGUUGUGAUGCAACCAGGAAUGGAUACGCUCAAUAAGCAUUACAGUAUGGAGCAUGAAUUGCAAAACGCAUCGAACGGUGGAGGCGUUGGUGGAACCGGCGUGUACCGGCAACGUAGCUACGAUAACUUACAAAACGUUCCGAUACCGACCAACUUCAAGUACUUUGCACCGCAGUCCAAGUAUAGUGCUAGCGGGGUCAGCAUAGCCAACGGUGCUGCCGGUGGUGGAGCGUAUUGCUACAGCGACCAGAGCCAGCUGCUUGGAUCGUCGCUCGGUGGAGGAAUCUCGCCCUCCGCGGUGCUUCUGCGUGGAGGUGGCGGCGCGGGAACAAUGCCGCUGCUUAAAAGUCAGUCCGAAUUUCUUCACAACACACAGCACCAACCGCAUCAUCCUUUAACGCCCAGCGCAGGGACCAGCGUUUCGCAGCAGCAUCUGCUGCAGCAGCAGAAGGCGGCGCAUCCGCUGCACUCCAUGAGCCUCAACAUGACGCUUCCGCGCUAUCCGUACCAUCGUAACCGUGCGAUCGGCAUCCGCAAGUCUUCGCACGAUCUGCAAUUGCCGAUCUAUCAGCACCACCCACUGGAGGAUGGCAAGCAAACGAAUGGGCUCGCUCAUGGUGCGGGCGCCUACAGCGCAGGGCUCUACUGUUUGGGCAAUCUGGGCCCGGGUGGAAACAGCACGAACAGUCUGAACAAUCACUUCAACCCGGCCGCAGCUCCUGGCGCCGCCCCCAUCGUGAUACCGUACAGCAACGGGCUGAUGCUGAAGGAUUCGUCGGCCUCGUCUUCGUCGUCGUCCGGUGGCUCUUCCUCGUCCGCCUCGGCCUCGACCGCUACCAUAUCGUCCAACUCGACGUCCUCCGCUACCUCGUCGUUGGAUCGACGGUGCCGAAGCAAUCUGCUCCCGUCCGGUUCGGGGUCCGGCUCCUAUCUUGCCAGUUACGAUACGAUCACUACGCUUUCCGAUCAGCAGCAGCAGCGCCAAAACGUUGCCCCUCACACUUGCCCCAAUAGCCCACGGACAAUCCGGUGUGGCAGUCCCAGUUGCAACAGUGAGCUGGAUCCGAUGCUACACUCGAAGGGUAGCGGUGGGGGUAAGCAGCACGGAAGCGGGGGUUACCAUCGACAUAGACACCACCAGCAGCAAGCAGCAAGCGGAGGCGGUGGAGGAUAUGCGAAAUUCUACCGCAAGCCAUCCUAUCAAAUGAAGUCGUCAUCCUCGCCGACGCCCCCGAUGGUGCUGCCGUCGCCCCUGGCCGGGCCCGCAUUCGGUAGCGGUGGACCGGGAGGAACCAAUCCCGUUUCCCCGGCCCUCUCGUAUAGCCAGUUUAGUCCCAGCUUCUGGAGCGCAAACACGUGCGUUUCGUCGAGCAAUCGGAGCAGCAUGCUCAGCACGGCCAGCACGCUGGGCGGCAGCAGCACGCCGUACGUCGAUUGUACCAACCACAAUGGUCUGAUGAAUGGUAGUGAGGGUGGUGGAAGUGGUGUUGGUGCCGGUGGCAGCGGUGGUGGAAUGGGCGGCCAAGGAACAGUAGCAGGAGGUGGAGGUGGAGUAGGAGUAGGAGGAGGAAUGGGAAGCAGUGCCGGUAAUAACAGUCCGUACGUACAGCGGCGUGGCGGAAGCGAUAAGCAGCGCUUCUCAAACGUUUUCGAGUAUCAGUUUAACAAUUUUGAUCUCAACUCGAUACACGAGGAUGCUACGAACGAAACCUAGCAUAUACUACAUUUUUAGUUUUGUAAUUUUUUAUAAUUUCACAAUACUCUUCACAUCACAUUUCUCUGCCACCUCAUUGUCACUACUACUCACUCCCCCUGCUCCUUAUGAACUAUUCGAUCCGGUCACUAUUUACGCACACGUCUGGUGCAAAGUGCGAAUGUGCACCACGGUAAUGGCAUAUCACGGUGCUUCGAAGCAAAACGGCUGGUUCUUGAUUUUAUCCCUUUUUUGUGCAGCUUUCUUGCAGCGGUUUAAGUUUUUUAGCAUUGUUUUGUUUUUCAAGGGUAUUUUUUGUUUCGCUUUAGCGUGGUGUUUGUUGUGGUUUUGAGACUGCACAUUCUUCGUUGCCCUCUGGGUUUGCUCUGUGAUCUGUGCAAAUGGUGUUUUUUGUUGUUGUUGUGAUUGCAAUAUGGUUUUAUGCCAAGAACAAACACAUUCUCUCCAUAGUUAUUUAGCUAAACGUAUCUUUUGAAUUGCAAAUAUUUAUUAUCGGUUGCAAAUGGUCGUUGAAGUAGCUUUCAAGAUUAAGUAAAUCAUAGACUAAUGACGAUGUAGCAAAUGUUGUCUUGAUACUACGCUCCGUACGGGGUGAGAGUUGUUUUGUCUCAUUUUAAUUAUUCAAAUUCUACACCUGAUGUAAGCUAUAGAAUACAUACACUUUUUAUAUCAACUCAUAGACUUUUAAACUGCAUUCAAAAUAUACAUAAAGAUUUAGAAAAUGUGAAGAAAAAAUUACAAAAAUCCUAAAAAUGUACCAAUCGUUCGAACAUUCUAGCAGCAUUCUGCACUAUUAAGCAGCUUCUUAAAUAAUAGUUCUUAUUUCCUGCUCAAAAAAUGUUAGAGAGUUGUCGUUACGUCACCAGCAGAAAUGACUACUAUCGGGCAUAAUAGCUAAGUGGGUUUUUUAAUCAACAAAAAGUAGCAAACAUGUUCCAGAGAGAGAGAGAGAGAGAGAGUGAAAGCGUAAUUCCUAGUUACUUCUGCUUGAUUUUGAGUGCAUUGCUUCGUUUGCUAGUUAGCUAAAAACAUGAACAUCAACACCAUUUGUGUCAAGUGUAUCGUAUUACGUACAAGCUCAUUCAACAAAGUUGUUAAUGUUUAUGAUUCGUGCUUAUCGUUUGCAUCGUAUUUCAUUAUUUUGAGCAGGAACCAAAUUUGCAGAAGUGCACAUCCGUUGAUUUAUCCGUUUCCACUACACGAUUUAUUACAUCGUUUGCUCUUAAAGAGAAACAAGUGAAUCCCGUUGUUGUAUAGUUGUGAUACGAAAACCAAAGGUUUACUGCGCCAUUUAAGCGUGGCAGAGUUGUGUAGGGUAAAUACACAAGUUAAAUGAAUAGUGUGAAAAAUCCUUCAAAAGGAAUAUAAACAAAAAACCUGACCAUUGUUAAAGAGAUCUUCCAGCCACAUUUUGGGAGUUGUUGUUGAUUUUACGUUUUUUUAAACAUUUAUGAAUUGCCUUAUUCUGCAGCGAAUUUACCACAAUUUGUAUGUUACAUUCUUAUGCAAAACGCAAACACAUGUACCAUGUGCCUGUAUUUGUGCUUGUAGUAAUAUUUUCUUAUUACAGAAACUAUUUUAUUUUUACUUUCGAUUGAAACAAUAAAAAGAUGAACAAGAAUUAUAAUUUGAAUUCAAUGUUAGAAGCCAUGUUUUCGUAGAACAAGUUUGGCAAACAAGAUAUAAAGCAUUCACAUUUAGCCAGUUAUCUUACUAAAAUGUUACAUAGGAAAAGAAAAUUGACAUCAAGACAGUUAUUCCGGACAGGACAGGAAAACCCCAAAUAAUACAAUCAAUACUAGAAAGAAGGAAGUGUAUCAUCUUUAGUGAAAUUAUCUUUUUUAAAUAGAAAUAUGUAAGAAAAGGCAAACAAGUAGUAAAACUUAUAUUUGAUAGCUAUAAAAAAAGAGAGGAAACAUACAAGUACAGUGUCGGAGGAAUAUGUGAUGCGUCUUGUCGACUAGCAAUUGGUUGAGGAUUCAUUUCCUCGCUGUUGGCCACGAUUGGAACAACCCCAUUCAAAUCAAACACUUUUCUUUACUUUCGCUCUCUCACUUUGCGCCGAGCCUAUAUUUACCUACUAACCGCCGUGCCGGUACCAGUGUUUUGCGUGUGUUGCGUUGGGUAUCGAUAAAUCCAACAGUGUGGCGCAUUUGGUCGAAAACGAGGCGCCCCUAUCAACGACCGGCAAUGUUUCGAUCUUAUCGGGUGGUGCCGCCG